CGGACCUGACUGCUAUCGGAUUGAUACUAAGCCAUGUGAGUCAUUGUAGCAAUACAAGGCAGACGGCUCAGUAACACGUAGUCAAUCUACCCUAUGGACGGGGAUAACCUCGGGAAACUGAGGAUAACACCCGAUAGAUCAUUAUUCCUGGAACGGUUUAUGGUCCAAACGAUUCGUCGCCGUAGGAUGGGACUGCGGCCUAUCAGCUUGUUGGUGAGGUAAUGGCCCACCAAGGCUAUUACAGGUACGGGCUCUGAGAGGAGAAGCCCGGAGAUGGGUACUGAGACACGGACCCAGGCCCUAUGGGGCGCAGCAGGCGAGAAACCUUUGCAAUGUGCGCAAGCACGACAAGGUUAAUCCGAGUGGUUCCUGCUAAAGGAAUCUUUUGUUAGUUGUAAAACCACUGACGAAUAAGGGGUGGGCAAGUUCUGGUGUCAGCCGCCGCGGUAAAACCAGCACCUCAAGUGGUCAGGAGGAUUAUUGGGCCUAAAGCAUCCGUAGCCUGUUCUGUAAGUUUUCGGUUAAAUCCAUUAGCUCAACUAAUGGGCUGCCGAAAAUACUGUAGAACUAGGGAGUGGGAGAGGUAGACGGUAUUCGGUAGGAAGGGGUAAAAUCCUUUGAUCUAUUGAGGACCACCUGUGGCGAAGGCGGUCUACCAGAACACGUUCGACGGUGAGGGAUGAAAGCUGGGGGAGCAAACCGGAUUAGAUACCCGGGUAGUCCCAGCUGUAAACGAUGCAGACUCGGUGAUGCCCUGGCUUGUGGCCAGUGCAGUGCCGCAGGGAAGCCGUUAAGUUUGCCGCCUGGGAAGUACGUACGCAAGUAUGAAACUUAAAGGAAUUGGCGGGGGAGCACCACAAGGGGUGAAGCCUGCGGUUCAAUUGGAUUCAACGCCGGG
rnacentral:rRNA from 1 species